rnacentral:rRNA from 1 species
GACGAACGCUGGCGGUGUGCUUCACACAUGCAAGUCGAACGAGGUAGCAAUACCUAGUGGCGGACGGGUGAGUAACGCGUGGGAAUCUGCCUUUAGAUGGGGGAUAACGGGUCGAAAGACUCGCUAAUACCGCAUAUGACGAAAGUUGAAAGGAGUAAUCCGUCUAAAGAUGAGCCCGCGUCCGAUUAGCUAGUUGGUAGAGUAAAAGCCUACCAAGGCGACGAUCGGUAGCUGGUCUGAGAGGAUGAUCAGCCACAAUGGGACUGAGACACGGCCCAUACUCCUACGGGAGGCAGCAGUGGGAAUUUUACGCAAUGGCGAAAGCCUGACGUAGCGACACCGCGUGAGCGAAGAAGCCCCUUGGGGUGUAAAGCUCUGUCAGCUGGACGAAAAAAAUGACGGUACCAGCAGAGGAAGCAUCGGCUAACUACGUGCCAGCAGCCGCGGU